rnacentral:rRNA from 1 species
GUGAGUAACACGUGGGCAAUCUGCCCUGCACUCUGGGACANNNCCUGGAAACGGGGUCUAAUACCGGAUAAUACUCCCGCACUCAUGUGUGGGGGUUAAAAGCUCCGGCGGUGCAGGAUGAGCCCGCGGCCUAUCAGCUUGUUGGUGAGGUAAUGGCUCACCAAGGCGACGACGGGUAGCCGGCCUGAGAGGGCGACCGGCCACACUGGGACUGAGACACGGCCCAGACUCCUACGGGAGGCAGCAGUGGGGAAUAUUGCACAAUGGGCGAAAGCCUGAUGCAGCGACGCCGCGUGAGGGAUGACGGCCUUCGGGUUGUAAACCUCUUUCAGCAGGGAAGAAGCGAAAGUGACGGUACCUGCAGAAGAAGCGCCGGCUAACUACGUGCCAGCAGCCGCGGUAAUACGUAGGGCGCAAGCGUUGUCCGGAAUUAUUGGGCGUAAAGAGCUCGUAGGCGGCUUGUCACGUCGGGUGUGAAAGCCCGGGGCUUAACCCCGGGUCUGCAUUCGAUACGGGCUAGCUAGAGUGUGGUAGGGGAGAUCGGAAUUCCUGGUGUAGCGGUGAAAUGCGCAGAUAUCAGGAGGAACACCGGUGGCGAAGGCGGAUCUCUGGGCCAUUACUGACGCUGAGGAGCGAAAGCGUGGGGAGCGAACAGGAUUAGAUACCCUGGUAGUCCACGCCGUAAACGGUGGGAACUAGGUGUUGGCGACAUUCCACGUCGUCGGUGCCGCAGCUAACGCAUUAAGUUCCCCGCCUGGGGAGUACGGCCGCAAGGCUAAAACUCAAAGGAAUUGACGGGG